rnacentral:rRNA from 1 species
GACGAACGCUGGCGGCGUGCCUAAUACAUGCAAGUAGGCCGCAGUUGCGAACGGGUGAGUAACGCGUAGGUAACUGCCUAUUAGAGGGGGAUAACUAUUGGAAACGAUAGCUAAUACCGCAUACUAGUAGAUGGACCUGCUUUUUAUUAGCUAGUCGGUAGGGUAAUGGCCUCCCUAGGCGACGAUACAUACCCGACCUGGGAGGGUGAUAGGCAACACGGGGACUGAGACACGGCCCAGACUCCUACGGGAGUAAGCAGUAGGGAAUCUUCGGCAAUUGGGGGAACCCUGACCGAGCAACGCCGCGUUAGUGAAGAAGGUUUUCGGAUCGUAAAGCUCUGUUGUUAAGGAAGCGGUACUUAACCAGAAAGGGACGGCGAACUACGUGCCAGCAGCCGCGGUAAUAC